ACUCAAAUGAAUUGACGGGGGCUCACACAAGCGGUGGAGGAUGUGGCUUAAUUCGAGGCUACGCGAAGAACCUUAUCCUAGUCUUGACAUGCUUAAGAACCCUCCUGAAAGGGAGGGGUGCCCUUCGGGGAGCUUUUGCACAGGUGCUGCAUGGCUGUCGUCAGCUCGUGUCGUGAGAUGUCGGGUUAAGUCCCUUAACGAGCGAAACCCUUGUCUCUAGUUGCCAGCGGGUAAAGCCGGGGACUCUAGAGGGACCGCCGGUGUUAAACCGGAGGAAGGUGGGGAUGACGUCAAGUCCUCAUGGCCUUUAUGACUAGGGCUGCACACGUCCUACAAUGCAUUGUACAAAGGGAAGCAACCUCGUGAGAGUAAGCAAAUCCCAAAAAGCAGUGCUCAGUUCGGAUUGCAGGCUGCAACUCGCCUGCAUGAAGCCGGAAUCGCUAGUAAUCGCGGGUCAGCAUACCGCGGUGAAUAUGUUCCUGAGCCUUGCACACACCGCCCGU
rnacentral:rRNA from 1 species